rnacentral:rRNA from 1 species
UACGUAGGCAGCAAGCGUUGUUCGGAGUUACUGGGCGUAAAGGGUGCGUAGGCGGUCCUAUAAGUAUGGUGUGAAAUCUCCCGGCUUAACUGGGAGGGUGCGCUAUAGACUGUGGGACUAGAGUGUGGGAGAGGAAAGUGGAAUUCCUGAUGUAGCGGUGAAAUGCGUAGAUAUCAGGAGGAACACCGGUGGUGUAAACGGCUUUCUGGACCAUAACUGACGCUGAGGCACGAAAGCGUGGGUAGCAAACAGG